rnacentral:rRNA from 1 species
UACGAAGGGGGCUAGCGUUGUUCGGAAUUACUGGGCGUAAAGGGCGCGUAGGCGGUACUUCAAGUCAGGCGUGAAAGCCCCGGGCUCAACCUGGGAACCGCGCUUGAGACUGGAGAACUAGAGUUCGGGAGAGGAUGGUGGAAUUCCCAGUGUAGAGGUGAAAUUCGUAGAUAUUGGGAAGAACACCGAUGGCGAAGGCAGCCAUCUGGACCGACACUGACGCUGAGGCGCGAAAGCGUGGGGAGCGAACAGGAU